rnacentral:rRNA from 1 species
CCAGCACCGAAGCCUGCAGCGGGUUCGCUGUUAGGCAAUGUGGUGUGUAGGUCGGCUAGCGGGACCAUCACUCCACCUGAAGUCCAGCAUUGAGUAUGGUUGUCAUUGGAUUUGGCCCAUAGAGGGUGAGAGGCCCGUGCAGGUGGAGGUUCAGACAGGUAUGAUGGUUCACCAGGCCGACCUAAGAGUCGGGUUGUUUGAGAUUGCAGCCCAAAGUGGGUGGUAAACUCCAUCCAAGGCUAAAUACAGGCACGAGUCCGAUAGCGAACAAGUACCGUGAGGGAAAGUUGAAAAGUACUCUGAAGAGAGAGUAAACAGUACGUGAAGCCGCAUGCAGGUAAACGGGUGGCGUCAAGCUGCGAGCCCGGAGGAUUCAGCUGGCUAGGUUGUAGAGUACGUGCCUGGCGCGUCAAUUGGCCGGAGUAGAAUGUGUUGGUCUGUCCCUCUCUUAGGGAUGGGGCAUGGCUGUGGUGGUGUCGGUGGAUGGUGUGCGUGUUAGUAGUGGAUCUGGAGGGGGUAGUAAGAUUAAGCAGGUUGGCCUCGGCCCGCUUGCUUGGUUUGCUCUCUCUUCUCCCAUUACUCGCGUACAUUGUUAGCUGGCGUGGCUGCCGCGGUUAAUGCUAUGCGUGCCGGGUGGGUGCCGGUGCAUGCCACACGUCUGUGGGGCCGCCUGGUCAGUGCACUUUCUCCGUGGUGAACACCACGACCNGGUGGUAUUGCCAGUCUGCCGUGGUCAAGUCGCGUCCACCUGGCAGCCCGUAUGUUAGUUGGCUGAUUGCCUUGUGUAAUUGGUCUACCGAUAGACGGGUCAGGUGGGUGCGAUCGCAGGUGGAGCGGGUGAACGGCGUAGCGGUGCUUCGGUGUCGCUGCGUGUUAUCGUGCACUCACCAUCGACCAACGAGUUGUCGUGCUGUGCUGCGCUGUGACCGCGCCGACUGUCGACAGCUCGGCGGACCGCGGUAGUGAAAGUGACUGUGCAAGGCACCGAGUGUGUCCACCUCAUCUGUCUGUGUGUGCAUGCUGCUGUUUCGGUAGUAUGCACACAGGGAUUGACAUGGUAUCCGGCACGCAUGUCACAGGUGCCAGUGUUGUAGUAAGACAGAGCGAGGCGCGUCGCUGUCUGUGGGCGUUGGGUGUGAUUGUCGUGUCGCCUGCAAAAAGUAGGUCCGGCAGUGAUCUAACGUCAUUACAGUGGGCAGUGUAUUACGUUGCUUCGAGUGCAUGUGAUACCGGGGGUGCAAUAGUCAGUGGUGCUGUGGUAGACGAGCUACCCGACCCGUCUUGAAACACGGACCAAGGAGUUUAACAUGUGUGCAAGUCAAAGGGCCUCACGAAGCCCCAAGGCGCAGUGAAAGUGAAGCUCGCGUUAUGAUGUAUAGCGCCUCUCUGUCCUGUCUGUCCUUGGCUCUAUGCUAAGGGUGGGCAGGUUAGAGUGGGUUGUUAUAUUGACCGACGCGACGAGGUGAGAUCCCACUGUUAUAACUCGCUGCAUGCCGUGGCCAGAUGAGGCCAGGUUAAGAGCGGUGGGCGCAUCACCGGCCCGUCCCAUGAUGUGGUCAUUGGCAAUUAUUGGCGUUGUGGUGGUGCAAUUGUACGCGUGCAUCACCAUGUGUACGAUGCAGUUGUGCCCUCGCGCCGGCCGGUGCGUCAUCGGGGCGGAGCAGGAGCAUACAUGUUGAGACCCGAAAGAUGGUGAACUAUGCUUGCGUAGGUUGAAGCCAGAGGAAACUCUGGUGGAGGACCGUAGCGAUUCUGACGUGCAAAUCGAUCGUCAAAC